rnacentral:lncRNA from 1 species
AAAACGAGAUACACAACUUAAUAUUUAUAUAAUAUAAAGUUAAUAAAUAACUUCAUGUUACAAGUCAAUCUAAAGAUAAAAGUCAUUCCACAAAUAUUCUAGACGACUUAUGUACACCCAAAAAGGUUCGCUAGGCCAAAUCUUGUGUAAACAUCAAUUAAUCUCUCACCCCAUUGUUCACGAAGAGAAUUUGCUAAUAUUGCUAAUGCUUCCCAAUCCGAGAUUUCUAUAAAAUUUUCCAGUUCUACAUGUUUCAUUUCAAACAGAUGUAUUAAUCUAGCAACAAUAAUAUUAGGUAACAUCUUAAAAGACUAGAACUCUAUUAAUUUCUUCUGUCUUUCCCUUCUUAUAGCCUCUCAUUUCGUAACAGAUUUUGUGUUGCUCUUGGGACACCAUUUCGUAUGAUCUCAUGACCUCAAAAAUAUAUCCUUCGAUGACGUGAUCUUCCACUUUGUUUCUUUACUCGACAUCCUGAACUCCCACUUGGAGUGAUUCGAAUUUGUCCACGUUCAGCCAUUUCUGAAAUAGGAACUAAGAAACAAUAAGAAUGGUUAUGCCAUUUAAUGCGACAACUUAUGUCACAAUUUAUUUGCAGAAUGUAAAAUCCGUUAAGGAUAAAUUAGGGACUAAAUGAGACAAAAUAAUAUCAAUAUUGGUUCAAACAAAUAUUUUAACCACAAACAUGUCCCAAAAAAAAAUUAAGUGGUCACACAACUGCACUAAAAUUAUGUCCCUUCGUUUUAAAAAAUAAAUAAAUUAUUUGCAUCUUUCAUAAACAGUACACUAAUACUGUUACUUUAUAUUUUUUUAAAAAAUAAGACUUGUAAAUUGAAACCAUAAUCAGUAUAAUAGUACUUUUUUUAAUCCUUUACAAUAAAUGAAGCAAAGUAGCCUAUAUCAAAAGAAUGACCCACCAUUCUGGAACAUUCAUUUGCAGAGAACUUUUUAUUUUUCCAUAGAAGUGAAUAGCCAAAUUCUCAUUCUUCACUUUUCUUCUAAAAAACAAACAAACAAAUCUCUUCAUUAUUUCUCAAAUGUUUUUUUUUGAAGGAUAUAGAAGAGACUCUCUUUGCACUGAUCUAUUCUACCUUGAAAAUUGAUCUUGUUAUGCUACUUUUUCUUCUUCUACUACCUUUUAUUUUGAAAAAUUAUUGAAAGAAAAUCUCCCUAUUCUUUAAUAGAAAAAAAAUUAUGGAUCCGUAGCGUAAUGGUAGAGCGUCUGAUAGAUCGGAAGGCUGUUAGUCCAAUUUUUGUUGGGUCCAUAAUCUCGAUCUACAUUCGGUUAUGCUAUCUUUUUAACAGGUAUGUUCAUUUUCAAUAAUACGAAGAUUUAAACUUAAACUCGACACCAAAAUCAUGCAAAACAGAGCAAUUUAACUUGGCUCUGAUGCCAUUGAAAGAAAAAUACGGAGCCAAAUAGUGUACCUUGGUAAAUUUUACAGCGGAUGAAACUGACUUUUCUACCGAAAGAAUCUGUCCAAGUCUUCUUUGAAUCUCUUAGAAGCAGAGCUUGAAUCACAAACUAAAUGCUCUCGUUUUGGUGUUAUCGUUAAUUUCGAUUCUUUAUUUUAUGAACCAAUUUUCUCUGUGUUCUCUGUAUUUUUCUUGUCAGAAGAAAAGGAGGUACGUAUUGCAAAUUUUGGGAUGGGAACAGUUACUUUUUAAUCGUUCUCCCUUUUUCUUUUGAAUUAAUCUCAAUCUGACUAAGAAACAGGUCGGUUUGGUUCAGUUCGGUUCAGUUCGGGUCGGGUCAGAUCGGGUCGGGUCGGUCCACAUGGGUGACCCAUGACCCAUAAUCUAAUAGAAAACAAGUUGUUUUCUUAUUUAUUUGUUGAAAAAUAUUUUCAAGUGUUUGAUUGGUGAAUGAAAAAUAUUUUUCAGAAUAUACAUUUUAAUAUUUAGCGAAAGAGUAGAAAAUACUUUUUAGAUAAUUUUGACCCCGAAAAAUACUUUUUUUAGGGUGUGUUUGGUAUGGAGGAGAAAAAUAUUUUCUUGAAAAAUAAGUUGUUUUUUACUUAUAUUCUUGUGUUCGUUAAACAAGUAGGAAAAUAUUUUCUAAAAGUAUUUGUAUAUAUUUAACAAAAAUGAUAAGAAUGAAUAAGGUAAGAAGGAUGGGGUAAGAAAAAGAUUUUGAAAUUUAUUUUAAUCAAUAAAUUAAAAAAUUAAAUCUUUAUUAUGGAGGGAGAGGGC